rnacentral:rRNA from 1 species
UCUGGUUGAUCCUGCCAGUAGUUAUAUGCUUGUCUCAAAGAUUAAGCCAUGCAUGUCUAAGUACACACGAAUUAAAAGUGAAACCGCAAAAGGCUCAUUAUAUCAGUUAUGGUUCCUUAGAUCGUUAACAGUUACUUGGAUAACUGUGGUAAUUCUAGAGCUAAUACAUGCAAUUAAAACAUGAACCUUAUGGGACAUGUGCUUUAAUUAGGCUAAAACCAAGCGAUCGCAAGAUCGUUAUAUUGGUUGAACUCUAGAUAACAUGCAGAUCGUAUGGUCUUGUACCGACGACAGAUCUUUCAAAUGUCUGCCCUAUCAACUUUUGAUGGUAGGAUCUAGGACUACCAUGGUUGCAACGGGUAACGGGGAAUCAGGGUUCGAUUCCGGAGAGGGAGCCUGAGAAACGGCUACCACAUCUAAGGAAGGAAGCAGGCGCGUAAAUUACCCACUCCCAGCUCGGGGAGGUAGUGACGAAAAAUAACAAUACAGGACUCAUAUCCGAGGCCCUGUAAUUGGAAUGAGUACACUUUAAAUCCUUUAACAAGGACCAAUUGGAGGGCAAGUCUGGUGCCAGCAGCCGCGGUAAUUCCAGCUCCAAUAGCGUAUAUUAAAGCUGUUGCGGUUAAAACGUUCGUAGUUGAACUUGUGCUUCAUACGGGUAGUACAACUUACAAUUGUGGUUAGUACUAUACCUUUAUGUAUGUAAGCGUAUUACCGGUAGAGUUCUUACAUGUGCUUAGAUACUUGUAUUUUUUCAUAUGUUCCUCCUAUUUAAAAACCUGCAUUAGUGCUCUUAAACGAGUGUUAUUGUGGGCCGGUACAAUUACUUUGAACAAAUUAGAGUGCUUAAAGCAGGCUUCAAAUGCCUGAAUAUUCUGUGCAUGGGAUAAUGAAAUAAGACCUCUGUUCUGCUUUCAUUGGUUUUCAGAUCAAGAGGUAAUGAUUAAUAGAAGCAGUUUGGGGGCAUUAGCAUUACGACGCGAGAGGUGAAAUUCUUGGACCGUCGUAAGACUAACUUAAGCGAAAGCAUUUGCCAAAGAUGUUUUCAUUAAUCAAGAACGAAAGUUAGAGGUUCUCUUUUUAAUCGGCGAGGUUCAACGUCGAGCACUCUGGAAGCGAGUGGGUUUGGGUGGUCUUCUAUUUUGUCUAGGUGCCGUCUGCUGCGUUUAGCCGCCUCUUCUACCACUGUGGGGAGCUUAAGAUCCCUCCUAAUUGUAGUGGUGUUUCUCACGUAAAAAGGGGCAUUUAAAAUUUGGCGUAGUAUUCUGUUUUCGACUCUUUCUAAUUUCUUAAGGUUUGAGAUAGCUGCAGUGCCCCAAAGCUCUAUGCCAUAUGUCCAUGUUGGUUUUAAGAUGCUGUUAUAUAGCAGUAAUUUGUUUUUAGUUG